UAAUAACAACAACAGCAGUAUCGAAAAAAGGGGGAAAUCAGGGCUUACUAACUGACUGAACCAUCUAUGUACAAACAAAAUUCACAGGACAAAACAAUAGUAGCACAGAACGUGUACCCGGCACCAGUGGAUUAAUUAUUCAUGAGUCACUGUCUUACCCAAACCCCUUCAUUCUAGAUUAAUCUUUAAUUUAUUGGCGAGUCCCUUAGGUCUGAGCUUCAGUUUGGGGCGAGAGAAACUUUGAUAUCAAGGCAAAAGUUGGUAGCUGUAAUAUCCAUCCUUGUUUGAUGUUGAAAUUAAAUAUCCAUCUUUCACAAUUCCUAUUAAUCAACGAUAAAGCCUUUUUAUAGUAAUGUUAGGAGUAAAAUAUAUAAAAGAAGUUACAAUAUUUUUGCUGAGAGGUUAGCAUUAAUGAAUAUUUAAUGAAUCACAGAUAGCUACAUCAUGCCAGUUAUCGCAUUGUCUUUAGAUAUGGCGAAUAAAAUCUUUAGUAAUGAUGUUUACGUACAUAACUGUCCAUAGUUUCCGUGGUAAUUAUGCAUGUAGCAGCAGUAAAAUUAAUCGUAUUAAUAUCAGUAUCAGCAGCCUACUAAUUCAGUAACUCAUAAAUAUUAAUUUCUGUUCAAUGAAACUUCCCCAGCUCCACAAGCACCAUCUGGUAUAACAGUCAUGAUGGUAGAAGAUGAGUCAGACCACCUGCAUGUGACCUGGAUACAGCCCAUGUCUCCUGGGCCCACGUGUCCCAUUACCAACAACAGCAUAAGAUGGUCUUUAGUCAACACGGGGGAUACAGUUGGUACAGAUGAAAUUAUUGCUAGUUCGGAAUACUUUAUACCUGGUCUGGAGGCCUACACAGCUUAUGCAGUGCACAUUGCUUCUAAAACAGAUGGUGGGUUUGGUCAGGAAGGUAGCGCAAGCAAUACCACUGAUCAAGACAUUCCUGGCUCUCCAAUAAUCGAUUCGUUGGAAGUCGUAACGCCUUCGUCACUGUUGGUUAAAUGGCUACCGCCACCUCAGCCAAAUGGUGUCAUCACGGGAUACAAGAUUGAAUGGAUGUGUGAAAAUCAGAAUACUGCACACCUGGAUAAUAAUCACAAUCGCUAUGAAAUAACAAAUCUAACCGCAUGUGUCUUCCAUGAGAUAACUGUUAUGGCUGAGACAAUAAAAGGUUUUGGAGAAAGAAGUGCUAAGAAUACAACAAUGUCAGUAGCUCCUGAGGCGCCAGAGAACGUGUCUGCUUUUAAGGUGUCCAACAUACCAGACCAGAUCAAAGUAACAUGGACGCAGCCUAAACCAUCUGGAAACUGUACCAUUACUGCUAACAAGGUGAAGUGGACGUGGCAAACAAAGGGAAAUAUGAAAACGAAACAGUGAUAUCAAACACCUCCAAUUAUACCAUCAGCGGCCUAAAGCCAUACACCAAUUACACUGUGUGCGUGGCAUCUCAAACGGAAGGAGGAUACGGACCCUAUGGAGAAUGCGACACUGCUGUCACCGAAGAAGACGUUCCGGGACCUCCAGUGAUUCAAGAUGUGACACAGUCGUCAGAAAGCAUCCUUCUGGUGUGGGAACAUCCUCCUGAGCCUCACGGAGUCCUAUUGCUCUAUAACCUAAGCUGGGUGAAUGUAGCAGAUAUCUCUGAUGAUGGCAGCGAAACAUUACCUUCAGCCCAGAAUAGCUAUACUAUCAGAGGCCUUCAGAGUAACUCACAGUAUAACAUUUCACUCAUGGUAAGUGCUAAUAAUAUAAACCCACCCUCGCAUUCAGUUAUUCAUGC
rnacentral:misc_RNA from 1 species